rnacentral:rRNA from 1 species
GACGGAAGGUGCAAGCGUUGCUCGGAAUCACUGGGCGUAAAGGGUGCGUAGGCGGCCGUGCAAGUCUGGCGUGAAAGCCCCGGGCUCAGCCCGGGAAGUGCGCCCGAAACUGUCGUGCUUGAGUGUCGGAGAGGAAAGUGGAAUUCCUGGUGUAGAGGUGAAAUUCGUAGAUAUCAGGAGGAGCACCGGUGGCGAAGGCGGCUUCCUGGACCACAACUGACGCUGAGGCGCGAAAGCUAGGGGAGCAAACAGG